UGGGGAAUAUUGCACAAUGGAGGAAACUCUGAUGCAGCGACGUCGCGUGAACGAUGAAGGCUUUCGAGUCGUAAAGUUCUGUCCUAGGGGACGAUAAUGACGGUACCCUAGGAGGAAGCCCCGGCUAACUACGUGCCAGCAGCCGCGGUAAUACGUAGGGGGCAAGCGUUGUCCGGAUUUAUUGGGCGUAAAGGGUACGCAGGCGGCCUUUUAAGUCAGAUGGGAAAUCUUACGGCUCAACCGUAAUUAGCAUUUGAGACUGAAAGGCUUGAGUUAAGGAGAGGAAAUUGGAAUUCCUAGUGUAGCGGUGAAAUGCGUAGAUAUUAGGAGGAAUACCAGUGGCGAAGGCGACUUUCUGGACUUAUACUGACGCUGAGGUACGAAAGCGUGGGGAGCAAACA
rnacentral:rRNA from 1 species